AGCCAGCCGCCGCGGUAAUACCAGCACCUCAAGUGGUCAGGAUGAUUAUUGGGCCUAAAGCAUCCGUAGCCUGUUCUGUAAGUUUUCGGUUAAAUCUAUGCGCUCAACGUAUAGGCUGCCGAAAAUACUGCAGAACUAGGGAGUGGGAGAGGUAGACGGUACUCGGUAGGAAGGGGUAAAAUCCUUUGAUCUAUUGAUGACCACCUGUGGCGAAGGCGGUCUACCAGAACACGUUCGACGGUGAGGGAUGAAAGCUGGGGGAGCAAACCGGAUUAGAUA
rnacentral:rRNA from 1 species